GCUUAUAAUUUGUCUUAUACAUCCAUUUGACUCUAAUUGGCUUCUUCCCUUUCGACAGAGCAGUUAAUUCCUAUGUAUUAUUGUUUUUAAUGGCAAAAAUUUCUCCAUCCAUCGCUUUAAUCCACCAAUCAUCAUUAAAUAUUUCUUCAAACACUACUAGAUGAUAAUCUAGAAAGAAAACAUAAUAAACAACAUCUUCAUCAUCAUUAAGAUCAUCAUUAACUUCAUAAUCCUUUAAAUAAAUAAGUGGAUGACGAUCCCAUUAUGAGUGCUUAAAUAUAGGAGAAGAUGAAGCUUUUGGAACAACACCAGAUGAUUCUUCAGAAACUAAAGGAGAAGAUUGCUCAUCAAUGUGAAUACUGUUUAUAUUUCAU
rnacentral:lncRNA from 1 species